GCGGCAGGCCUAAUACAUGCAAGUCGAACGGUAACAUGAGUAGCAAUACUUGAUGACGAGUGGCGCACGGGUGCGUAACGCGUAUGCAAUCUACCUUUAACCGGUGAAUAGCCCGAAGAAAUUCGGAUUAAUACACCAUAGUAUGAUGAGGAGGCAUCUCCUUAUCAUUAAAGUUCCGACNGUUAAAGAUGAGCAUGCGUGACAUUAGCUAGUUGGUGAGGUAACGGCUCACCAAGGCCACGAUGUCUAGGGGAUCUGAGAGGAUUAACCCCCACACUGGUACUGAGACAGGGACCAGACUCCUACGGGAGGCAGCAGUAAGGAAUAUUGGACAAUGGUGGCAACACUGAUCCAGCCAUGCCGCGUGAAGGAUGAAGGCCCUAUGGGUUGUAAACUUCUUUGUACGGGAAAAAACCUUCUUACGUGUAAGAAGCUGAUUGUACUGUAAGAAUAAGGAUCGGCUAACUCCGUG
rnacentral:rRNA from 1 species